rnacentral:rRNA from 1 species
UACGAAGGGGGCUAGCGUUGUUCGGAAUCACUGGGCGUAAAGCGCACGUAGGCGGAUUCGUAAGUCAGGGGUGAAAUCCCGGGGCUCAACCUCGGAACUGCCUUUGAUACUGCGGGUCUUGAGUCCGAUAGAGGUGGGUGGAAUUCCUAGUGUAGAGGUGAAAUUCGUAGAUAUUGGGAAGAACACCAGUGGCGAAGGCGGCUAACUGGUCCAGCACUGACGCUGAGGUGCGAAAGCGUGGGGAGCAAACAGG